GGAGAGGUGGCAGAGUGGUUGAAUGCACCGGUCUUGAAAACCGGCGUGCACGGAAGUGUACCGGGGGUUCGAAUCCCUCCCUCUCCGCCA
rnacentral:tRNA from 1 species